AGAUGGUUGUGGCUUUGAAUAACAGGAAAAUCAACUCCACCAAUGGUCUAAUUUGAAGAAGAUGUGAGGGAGAGUGACUGACCUUUCUGGAGGAAAUGGUUUUCGAGGCAGGUGGAAGAGUAGGCUUCUGGGUAGCCAUGGAAUGAAUGAGAAGUGGCGAGAAAGUAGGUGGAGGGGGUUUCUCUCUUCUUUUAACAGUAGAAGUGAUGAAUGAUGCCGAUGAUGCCGAUGAUAAUCCUCUGCUGCUCCCACCGAAUGCAAUGGCUUUCACUUCCAUUUUUUUUUUCUCUUUUUUCCCUUUUCUUCUGGUGAGUUUUGGUGCCUUUGUUGGAGGAAUCAGGCUGCCCUUUCUCUUUCUCUGUCUCAUCUCUCCCCAGCCAGCCUCAUUGAGUGGACGAGGGAUGGAUUGCUCUUGUCCACGUGUCAUUACCUCGUUGCCUACUCGCACUUAACAAGGGCCCGCCCCCACCCCUCCCAGGAUCGCUUUA
rnacentral:lncRNA from 1 species